rnacentral:rRNA from 1 species
UGACGUCAAGUCAUCAUGGCCCUUAUGUCCAGGGCGACACACGUGCUACAAUGGCCGGCACAGCGGGAAGCGGAGGGGCGACCCUGAGCGGAUCCCUUGAAAGCCGGUCCCAGUUCGGAUUGCAGUCUGCAACUCGACUGCAUGAAGUUGGAAUCGCUAGUAAUCGCGGAUCAGCCAAGCCGCGGUGAAUACGUUCCCGGCCUU